rnacentral:ncRNA from 2 species
CUGUUGAGAUAAUUGAUUCUAGGGCGUCUAACCGGGUAACGGGUUAGAGGAUAACUGGGUGAAUUGCUGGAACUUCCUAAAGCUUCAUCAACCACAGCGUAACUGGAAACGGUCGGCGUCACGGUUUGAAAAUGAUGAGGAUGGACCAAUGGAUAAUCAGCAGCCAAGCUCCUGUGAGGAAACUCUGGAGAAGGUUCAACGACUAGGAUAGACCGUCUAAGGCAGAAGCUAUGACGAUGAAAUCCGUAGGGUGGCAAGCGCCAUUCGAAGUGCCCAGCCCCUUAAAAGUUUAAGGGUGAAGAUAUAGUCUAUUCUAUGAUCGAAAGACAUAG